UACGUAGGGUGCGAGCGUUGUCCGGAAUUAUUGGGCGUAAAGGGCUCGUGAGCGGUUUGUCGCGUCGGGAGUGAAAACACCGGGCUUAACUCGGUGCUUGCUUUCGAUACGGGCAGACUAGAGGCAUGCAGGGGAGAACGGAAUUCCUGGAUGUAGCGGUGAAAUGCGACAGAUAUCAGGAGGAACACCGGUGGCGAAGGCGGUUCUCUGGGCAUGUCCUGACGCUGAGGAGCGAAAAGUGUGGGGAGGCGAAACAGGGAUUAGACU
rnacentral:rRNA from 1 species